rnacentral:rRNA from 1 species
GUGGGGAAUAUUGGACAAUGGGCGCAAGCCUGAUCCAGCCAUGCCGCGUGAGUGAUGAAGGCCCUAGGGUUGUAAAGCUCUUUCACCGGAGAAGAUAAUGACGGUAUCCGGAGAAGAAGCCCCGGCUAACUUCGUGCCAGCAGCCGCGGUAAUCCGAAGGGGGCUAGCGUUGUUCGGAAUUACUGGGCGUAAAGCGCACGUAGGCGGACAUUUAAGUCAGGGGUGAAAUCCCGGAGCUCAACUCCGGAACUGCCUUUGAUACUGGGUGUCUGGAGUAUGGAAGAGGUGAGUGGAAUUCCGAGUGUAGAGGUGAAAUUCGUAGAUAUUCGGAGGAACACCAGUGGCGAAGGCGGCUCACUGGUCCAUUACUGACGCUGAGGUGCGAAAGCGUGGGGAGCAAACAGGAUUAGAAACCCUGGUAGUCC